UACCAGCUCUCCGAGUGGUAGGGAUGAUUAUUGGGCUUAAAGCGUCCGUAGCCGGCUUAGCAAGUCUCCUGUUAAACUCAGCGACCUAAUCGUUGAGUCGCGGGAGAUACUACUAGGCUAGGAGGCGGGAGAGGUCGACGGUACUUCUGGGGUAGGGGUGAAAUCCUAUAAUCCCAGGAGGACCACCAGUGGCGAAGGCUGUCGACUAGAACGCGCUCGACGGUGAGGGACGAAAGCUGGGGGAGCGAACCGGAUUAGAUACCCGGGUAGUCCCAGCUGUAAACUAUGCGGGCUAGGUGUUGGGGUGGCUACGGGCCACUUCAGUGCCGCAGGAAAGCCAUUAAGCCCGCCGCCUGGGGAGUACGGCCGCAAGGCUGAAACUUAAAGGAAUUGGCGGGGGAGCACCACAAGGCGUGAAGCUUGCGGUUC
rnacentral:rRNA from 1 species